GACCUGCGGAGGAUCAUUAUCGAGUUUUUGACUGGGUUGUAGCUGGCCUUCCGAGGCAUGUGCACGCCCUGCUCAUCCACUCUACACCUGUGCACUUACUGUGGGUUUCAAUGCGUGGAAUAAGGCCUUUACGGGCUCGUGAAGCGGGUUGUGCCUGCGUUUAUUACAAACACUAUAAAGUAUAAGAACGUGUAUUGCGAUGUAACGCAUCUAUAUACAACUUUCAGCAACGGAUCUCUUGGCUCUCGCAUCGAUGAAGAACGCAGCGAAAUGCGAUAAGUAAUGUGAAUUGCAGAAUUCAGUGAAUCAUCGAAUCUUUGAACGCACCUUGCGCUCCUUGGUAUUCCGAGGAGCAUGCCUGUUUGAGUGUCAUGAAAUCUUCAAUCUACAAACCUUUGCGGGUUUUGCAGAUUUGGACUUGGAGGCUUGUCGGCCUGGUCGGCUCCUCUUAAAUGCAUUAGCUUGGUUCCUUGCGGAUCGGCUUACGGUGUGAUAAUUGUCUACGCCGCGACCGUGAAGCGUUUGGCGAGCUUCUAAUCGUCUCGUUGGAGACAUCUUAUUGACCUCUGACCUCAAAUCAGGUAGGACUACCCGCUGAACUUAAGCAUAUCAAUAAGCGGAGGAAAAGAAACUAACAAGGAUUCCCCUAGUAACUGCGAGUGAAGCGGGAAAAGCUCAAAUUUAAAAUCUGGCGGUCUUUGGCCGUCCGAGUUGUA
rnacentral:rRNA from 1 species